ACUCCUACGGGAGGCAGCAGUAGGGAAUCUUCCACAAUGGGCGCAAGCCUGAUGGAGCAACACCGCGUGAGUGAAGAAGGGUUUCGGCUCGUAAAGCUCUGUUGUUAAAGAAGAACACGUAUGAGAGUAACUGUUCAUACGUUGACGGUAUUUAACCAGAAAGUCACGGCUAACUACGUGCCAGCAGCCGCGGUAAUACGUAGGUGGCAAGCGUUAUCCGGAUUUAUUGGGCGUAAAGAGAGUGCAGGCGGUUUUCUAAGUCUGAUGUGAAAGCCUUCGGCUUAACCGGAGAAGUGCAUCGGAAACUGGAUAACUUGAGUGCAGAAGAGGGUAGUGGAACUCCAUGUGUAGUGGUGGAAUGCGUAGAUAUAUGGAAGAACACCAGUGGCGAAGGCGGCUACCUGGUCUGCAACUGACGCUGAGACUCGAAAGCAUGGGUAGCGAACAGGAUUAGAUACCCUGGUAGGAUAGCG
rnacentral:rRNA from 1 species